rnacentral:rRNA from 1 species
UACAGAGGUCCCAAGCGUUGUUCGGAUUCACUGGGCGUAAAGGGCGCGUAGGCGGCCAUUCAAGUCAGGGGUGAAAGCCUGUGGCUCAACCACAGAAUUGCCUUUGAUACUGUUUGGCUAGAGACCGGAAGAGGUAAGUGGAACUGCGAGUGUAGAGGUGAAAUUCGUAGAUAUUCGCAAGAACACCAGUGGCGAAGGCGGCUUACUGGACCGGAACUGACGCUGAGGUGCGAAAGCGUGGGGAGCAAACAGG